CAAACCAAAAUGAGGAUGUUUAUCACACUCUGGACACAAAACAACAGGAGCCCAGUUUAGAGAAUGAGGAAUCUAUCCACGCCAAAGACUUUUAACUUGAAGGAAUUCAAUGGAAUAAUACACUGUACAUGCAAUGACAUUGUUCUGGACACAACAAAAGGAAGGAUUUGAAAUGGUGAGGGAAAAGAGUGUGUAUAAGACACUGACGCACAAAUAAAUGUGAACAGAGACAGAGAUUGAAGCAGUUUAAUGUCCUAACACACUCCACCAAAUGGUGGAUUCAGGUCGACAUGUCAAUCUGAUUAACAACAAUAAUAACAAACACAAAGAAUAAUACAAAACCAUUUACAUGACAUCCUAGUUUUGUGCUGAAAUACUGCAAAUAUAUAGAGAUUUCUUUACAGAGAGUAUAAAUAGGAAAAAAAUAAGAAACACAAGGUGCUACAUGACCAUUAACUAAGACUAUCAGUCAAACUCUUUCUCAAGGCUUCUUUUCAAUGAGUUUACAUGCUGAAGAGUCAAUCGCUUCUAUACUUUCCCCCUUUGUUUUAGCAUUGAGACCUGAGUUAAUUUGUGAUAUAAUACAUGUUUUUUUUUUAAAGUAAGGGAAAGUGCAGUUGCAUAUUUUAGAUAUAGCAUCACAUAACUUCCUUCAGUGGCAUUCACGUGGGUGCUCAAGUGCCCGUGGGCAUCUCAGAUCAACAUGCGCUGAGAUCGAGUUUGUAAGAGCUUUCAAAGAGCUUAUUACAUUCAAAUGAAUGCGAAUAAAAGGGCUCAAGGGUUUGUUCCUGUGGAUUCUACAUCAUGGGAGUAAAUCACAUGUUCUGCAGGUGCGGUCGCAUUAGUGAAUUUUCAUGGGCAAUUUGUCAUUAGGGUAGCAAUGUUUGAAGCACAGUUCACUGAAGUCACUUUUAAACCAAGCAGCUUUAUGGCAAAAUCUGUGUGGGGAAAGCGUUUGUACGCACCUUUAUUGUGUCUUUAAAUUUUUUUUUUUCUGAAUUAUCAAAGUGGCUGUUUACACAACACCGUUUUCAACUAAAAACGGAAAACUUUUUUAUGCGUUUUGGCCGUUCAUUUACACGACAAUGGCGUUUUGGUGGCCUGAAAACACAAACUUUUGAAAACUGGUUUCAAAGUGCAAGUUUUUGAAAACGAUACCGUUGUCAUCUCCGUGUAAACGUGAAUCUGGAACGGUGAAAACGGUGACGGCAUGCACAUGCAUAUUACGUGUUAAGUCUAUCCACCUUAUUUUUCAACGUGAAGGUAAGGUUUUCUGUGAAUGUGUGAGACUUCUGAUUUAUUAGCCGCUGUGGGGAAAUAACGAGAAGAAUAUCCAACGCUAUUUCACGGCCAGUUCGUACGUAUUUUACAAGGUGGCUAAUUCGUACGAAUUUGUACGAUUUGUCUAAACAAUACUAAAAAGUAGUGAAACAACACAAACGCAAACGGCCGUUUUAAGUUUAGAAACAUUUUGAGUCACCCCUCACUUGCCUCACAGUGGUUUGGUCCACCGCGCACAUCACCUACACACACAAGUCCGGCGGCGGGAGAGAACAGUUCUUCAGACAAUAACGUUAGUUGAGGAACUCCACCCAUCAGGCCCCAUUCCCCUCCCAGAGCCGCUGUUGUUAGGGUGUGGGUACCGCAGAAUGUUUAUUACGGAACGUCUCAAAAAAUGCCAACAUGCCCUUCUUCACGCUGGGAGAGGCCAUUUUGGAAGGUGUGUGUCCU